rnacentral:misc_RNA from 1 species
GAUGAAGAACGUAGCGAAAUGCGAUAAGUAAUGUGAAUUGCAGAGUUCAGUGAAUCAUCGAAUCUUUGAACGCACAUUGCGCCCGCCAGUAUUCUGGCGGGCAUGCCUGUUCGAGCGUCAUUUCAACCAUCAAGCCCCGGGCUUGUGUUGGGGACCUGCGGCUGCCGCAGGCCCUGAAAUGCAGUGGCGGGCUCGCUGUCACUCCGAGCGUAGUAGUUACAUCUCGCUCUGGGCGUGCUGCGGGUUCCGGCCGUUAAAAGCCUUAUUUACCCAAGGUUGACCUCGGAUCAGGUAGGAAGACCCGCUGAACUUAAGCAUAUCAAUAAGCGGAGGA